rnacentral:rRNA from 1 species
UACGUAGGUGACCAGCGUUGUCCGGAUUUACUGGGCGUAAAGAGCGCGCAGGCGGUCGUUCAAGUCGAGUGUGAAAGCCCCCGGCUCAACUGGGGAGGGUCAUUCGAUACUGAUCGACUCGAAGGCAGGAGAGGGUAGUGGAAUUCCCGGUGUAGUGGUGAAUUGCGUAGAUAUUCGCAAGAACACCAGUGGCGAAGGCGGCUCACUGGCCCGGUACUGACGCUGAGGUGCGAAAGCGUGGGGAGCAAACAGG